GACGAACGCUGGCGGCGCGCCUAAUACAUGCAAGUCGAGCGGACCAAAUCGGAGCUUGCUCUGGUUUGGUCAGCGGCGGACGGGUGAGUAACACGUGGGCAACCUGCCCGCAAGACCGGGAUAACUCCGGGAAACCGGAGCUAAUACCGGAUAACACCGAAGACCGCAUGGUCUUUGGUUGAAAGGCGGCCUUUGGCUGUCACUUGCGGAUGGGCCCGCGGCGCAUUAGCUAGUUGGUGAGGUAACGGCUCACCAAGGCGACGAUGCGUAGCCGGCCUGAGAGGGUGACCGGCCACACUGGGACUGAGACACGGCCCAGACUCCUACGGGAGGCAGCAGUAGGGAAUCUUCCGCAAUGGGCGAAAGCCUGACGGAGCGACGCCGCGUGAGCGAAGAAGGCCUUCGGGUCGUAAAGCUCUGUUGUGAGGGACGAAGGAGCGCCGUUCGAAGAGGGCGGCGCGGUGACGGUACCUCACGAGGAAGCCCCGGCUAACUACGUGCCAGCAGCCGCGGUAAUACGUAGGGGGCGAGCGUUGUCCAGAAUUAUUGGGCGUAAAGCGCGCGCAGGCGGUUCCUUAAGUCUGAUGUGAAAGCCCACGGCUCAACCGUGGAGGGUCAUUGGAAACUGGGUGACUUGAGUGCAGGAGAGGAGAGCGGAAUUCCACGU
rnacentral:rRNA from 1 species